AGGACCUAUUGGUACUCUGGUUGGUUGGUUUAAGCCAAUCAGAGUGCUCUGUGUCAUUUUACAAAGCGUGGGAAAGUUUAUUGGAAUUUUCAUAGACUGUGUAAAAUGACACAGAGCACUCUGAUUGGAUGGAUUUAAAGCUAACCAGAGUCCUGUGACAGAUAAUUGCAGAGACUUACCUGUCAGAGCACUCUGAUUGGAUGGCUUAAACAAACCAGAGUGUUCUGAGCCUAAUUGCAGGGCGGGGCAAGGCUUUAUAAGCAUUCCCCCGCCCUGUGGAGCUCAGUCUGCAUAGUGCCCUCCUUGGGUGAAGAUGGAUUAUUUUUU